AUAGAUCCUUAAUUUCUUUUAUUUUCCUUCAAGUCAAAUUAGUGAAAUCAUUGCAUUAGCAUCUAAUAAUAUGAAGUUCACAAUCUUUUCCAAUGAAAUCAAUUUUUUAACAUGAAAAUUUGAAUUUUAGAAAUGUUUGUGGAAGGUAUAUAUAUUCUUCCCUUCGAGAUUCUUUAUUUUGUGCCAAGUUGAUUGGAUGUACUGUUUGAAAUGUUAGUUAAGUUAGGCAAGAAAAGUUGUUUUGGUUGUUUCUUUUCUCCUUUCAGCAGUAUAUAAUGAGACAUCUUAUGUUUUUACCACUUUCUAAUAUACUACUCAAUAAAAUUUUCUUUGGGCUCUUGUUUGUACAUGGUAUUUUUCUUUUUGCUUGAUGAUUCUUGAAGUUUUUGUGACUGCAUCCAUGGGAAUUGGUUUGUUAGGGAAGGUGGGGCUGACAGGGUACAUAUUGAGAGGUAGGAAACCAAUUGCAAAAUGAUUCAGAUCCUUUUACUCUUCAAAACUCAGAUAAUCCAAGUAGAAUUCUCAUAUCUGCACCGUUAAAUUAAGUAUAAAGAAUAUAUAGUUAAAAAGAUAAAUCUAUUUAUAUCCAUUUAAUUUUAAUUUUUUUUUAUCCGUUUGUAAAUUUAUUUUUUUUAUAGUGCUAGAGGUUUAAUAAGUUGGAGAGAGCAGGGCUCACAGCAGCCUCACUCUCUUGUAACCAUUCAAAGACUCGAGUCAUAUCAGUGGCGUUAAUAGCAUCUCUUGAUAUGUCACCUCUCUAGAAAAUUUGAACCCAUCCUAAAAAAAAAAGCAAGCAAACCACCGCACUUUCAGUGGCCGGAAGAGUGAUAUCACAUCUAUGAAUUGACUUAAACCAAGACUGGUCUUUAAAAUACUCUCACCAUGAAGCUCUAAAUUUACAACUGCAAAAGUAAAAAUAGAAAAACACAAUAUUUUCACCCCAGCCAUAGAGACAAGGAGAGUAAACCCAUAUCCAAGACUCGAGGAAGCCAUCCCUUAAAAGGAACAGGGAACGGUUGCAGGACUAACCAUUAGUAGAGAAACAAGGUUUGCCCUCAGAAGUAAACAGGCAGAGAUAAAGCACUCUCUCUUUAACUUUCACGGCUCUUAUUCAAAAAUUUGAUUUCAAAUUAUAAAAAUAUGCUUUUAUAUUAUAGCAAUUCUUAUCUAAACCAGCUUAACAUUAACUUAAAAUAUAAAUAUAUAAGAUUUUUCUUACAUUAGGUUUACAUAACUAUUUUUUUAUAUAUUAAAUAUACCCUUAAUUAAAAUGAUUUUUUUUCUAUUACAUGAAAAUAUAUUUGCACCUAUUUUCAAAUAAAACUUUAAUAUAAUUAAAAUAAACUAUGUUUGCCUUUGGUUAACAUACCAUUCACUCAUAUUACUCCUUAAAUAUUAAAGAACUCAUACUAUUAGAAGAUUUUUAAAAUCAGUAAAUUUUACUUUUUUUCAAUAGAUAUUAAAUAGAAUAUAUUAAUAAACUAAUAAAUAAAUCAUCAUAUACAAGUUCAUAUAAUUUAACAUUACACUGCUGAUUGCAACUACUUAGCUCCAUAACGCCAUUCUCUAAAACCCCAACUCUCACACCCAACCCUCUGCAAUAAACACAGAAACAAAACCUCAUCUCUCUCUCUCUCUCUCCCCUCAAAAGAAAAUCAAUAUAUAAUAUGUAAGUGAUCAAGUGAUUGAUUAUGGACAUCAUAGAUCUAACAGAAAAUUAUACCUUGCAAUUCACCCCCACAAAAAUAUUUUCCCGGCAAAGAACGAUCAUUCGAGCCGCUGUGUAUUCGAGCUCUCCAAUGACCACAGCUUGAAGUUACUUCAUUGUCUUGUUAGUGAAUGAUCAAGUAAUUCUUGAGAAGCAUUACCUCUUCUGGUUGGUAUUAAUUUUGUUGAGAAGCAAGCCAGGCAUCUCAUCAAUAAUGGCGAUUUACGCUUAUAGGAACGCGCUGAGCAGCUUCGCUACUGUUUCCGAACCAUUCACUGUUAUAAGAAGACCAAAGAGAAAGUCCACUUUUGUAUGAUAAGCUGUCAAUGAGAAAAUGAUCCUGAAUUCCUAUUCGUUGCCUCGGUGUGCUCAUCGACCUCGCCUUUGCCUUUGCAGAUUCUGUUGCAGCCAUGUAAGUUGGGAAAACAGGAGAAUUCAGUGCAGAACUGUCAUCUCCUGUAGUAUUCCGUUGUGUCCGACAAAAUGAUCUUCUUGGAAAUGACACUGGUGAACUCAAUGCUUCUAUGUUAUCUCGUUUCCGUGAACUCAUUUUCACUUGUGUUGUACCAAAUAUGUCACUUGCUUUCAGAUUCUCUAUCCGUUCUCUAGCCAAUUCUUCCAGCCAGUGUCUCUGUCUAUCAGGUUCAUUCUUGGCUAUUGAUUCUUCCAGUACAUAGAUAAGAAAGUAAAAAAGAGAUGUUUUUUUAAGAAUAUAAUCUUCGUUAUAUUAAUCUUCACAGUACACACAUGAUUUAAAUAAGAGAAUUGAUAACUAAAGUUGCCUAUUGAAUAGGAGAGAAUAAUGGAAAAAUAUCAUCAGUAAGUGAAUGAAUCACCCUAAGAAUCCUAAUCACAAGACUCAUUCAAUUGUAUAAUAUUUACAAAAUUAACACUUAUCACUCCAAUACUCAAGCCUUAGCACAGCAGCCUUAUUACUCCUGAGAGGUGGAACCAUUCUUAUGACUCCCUGAACUAGUAUCCCCCCUCAAAUUGUGUCCAGAAUGGAGACAGAGUUUGCGUCGAAAUUGUGCUAGACGAGUUUUUGUCAUUGACUUUGUAAAUAUAUCAGCAACUUGAUAUGCUGAGGGAAUGUAUCUCGUGAUCAGAACUCCUUGAGCAACGCGUUCUCUGACAUAGUCUAUAAAUCUUGAUUUUGGAUCAGUUACCAACACUCAAUAAAGUCUAUAAAUCUAUAUGCAGCCACUGAGUGUGUUGAUGGACAAGCAACUGCAAUUGGUCCUACUAGGGAUUGGAAUGCUAAUUUAGCUUCAGGUAUUUAACAGGACUUUUUGUCCAAAUGUAUUUAUGAACAAGUUCAUAAAAGGCAGGUUAGCUCUAUAUAUAACACAAGUAUAAUCUUGCAAUAUACUUGAUAAAAUUUUCUUUGAGCUGUUAUUUACACACCACCUGCAGUAGGUAUCCAGUCUUAAAUUAGUUAGAUAUUCAAUAAAAGGACUUUUUAUAUGAUUCCAAUAAUUCUCUACAUAAUAUGUUCCUUAAAACAAAAUUUGAUUCAAUUUAUUUUAACACCAUAAUUCUUUAUAAAAAAAAUAGCUACAAAAUUUCUUACAGUUAGUAAUUUAAUGGUCAUGGUCAGUAAACGGUCAGUAACUUAUUUUACAAAUCACUUUUUCCAUAAUUUGAUCAGUUAACAUGAUUUCUUCUGGUGCGUUAUUAUUUAUAAAUACUAAUAAUUACAUUGUAAAAUUUAUAAUUUAUUUUUAUUAAUAUAAUUUAUUUAAUUAAUUUAUAAUAUAAUAUUUUAAUUUACAUUUAAAAUUCACAUGUUCACGUCUAUUUUAAUGGAUUAAAAAAUUAUACAAAUAUAUAUUAUUUAAAAUAUUUCAAUUUAAUUUGUUCGAUUAAUUUACUAUUUUAAUUUAAUUUAUGUUCUAUUAACAAAUAUAAUAUUAAACUUUUAAUAGAUUAAAUAUUUUAUUAAAACUAUUAUAUGUUUUAAUAAUUUACUUAUAUUAAGGUUAGUAAUUAGAUAUAUUUGUCUAUACUAUAAAAUCUCAAUAUCAUACAAUACAUUAUUAAUAAAUAUACUACAUAAUUAGUUCAGGCGAGAAAGUGGGCAACAUGCUACAAACUAUAAUUCUUGCUAAGAAUUAGAAUUAAAUUAAAUUUGUAAUACUUUAAUAUAAAGAAAAACUAUAGUUCUUACUAAGAAUUAGAACCAAAUCAAAUUUUUAAUACUUUAAUGCAUUUCAAACUAAAUUUCGGUAUAGUUCUAAUACGAUUCUAAGUAAUUUUAGUACUAUCUCAAUUUGAUUUUAAUUUUUUUAUUUUAAUUUUAUUUCAAUUUAAAUUUUAAUUUUUACAAAUAAAAUCAUAAUAGCUUUUACGCAUAUUUUNNNNNUACAACUCUUGAUAAGAAUAUUUUAUUAUUUUAUGUAGUUAUUAAUUAUAUAAUUUUAAUUAAAAAAUGUAUGAAAUUAAUAUAUAAAUAUAUAUUAUAUUACUAAUAAUACAUUUAUAAUUGAUAUAAAAAAAGGAUGUAUAUAUCAUUCGAGUAUAAUAAUUUUUUAAAAAAUAUAUAUAUGUUAAUGAUAAUUUUAUUAAAUAACAGAUAUUAGCAAAUAUAAUAAAAAUUUGAAUAUUUCAAUUACAGUAAAAAAAUCAACUAAAAUGAUACAUUUUCUUAAUUUUAUUUUAUUAUAAUUUUUUUAUAACUUUGAUUAAAUAUAUUCAUAUAAUAAUGUGAUAUUAAGAUAAUAGGAGCCCAAAUUUAAUAGUCUAUUUGCAAUAAUAAUAAUAAUAUAUAAAAAAAUUAAUAAAGAGAUGAAAAAAUAACGGUAAAAUAUUGUUUAGUUUAUGAAAGUGUUAAAUUUGGUUGUGGAUAAAUAGAGUGGUUUAUUGAAGAUUUUGAAAUCAAAUGGACAUUCAAAGCCGCAAUAUAAAGAUUUAUUUGGCUUUAAAGAGAGAUAAAUCAACGUCAAUCAGACUGUGUAUCUUACUAGAGGUUCUUGUAUCCCACUUCUGAUUAGAUUGAUAAGAGAAUAAGAGACAGCUGAGGUUCAAGAGGUGAUUUGUUCAGAUCACAUGGGCAACUCAUACAAAAUUAAAUAUAAAAGGAAGUUUUUUCUUAGAAAUCUGAUAUAUUUUUCUAUGCUACAAAAUCUCAGUACAAGCGAGAUAGUGGGCAACAUGCUAAAAUAAAAAGCUAUAGUUCUGAUACUUUUAUCAUCAGAUUUUACUACAAUAUAUUUUAAUCUAUUAGUAAUUUUAACAGAUUUAUUAAAAAUUUUGAAAAUCCUUCAAUAAUUCUUAAUAUAAAACAUUAUAUAAAAAUUCACCAAUAGAUUUGAAAUCUGUUGGUAAUCUACUAGUAUUACUAACAAAUUUAAAAAUUUAUUGGAAAUUUAUAAAUUUAUAAAAUAAUUGGUAUUGAUAUUUAUCAACAGACUUAAAAUUUAUUAGUAAAUCAUUAACAAUUUUAAUCUGUUAGUAAAUUUAGGGGUGGAAAUGAAACAAACCGUUUGUGACCGUUUGUGAGCUAUUCGAGAUUCGACUCGAUAAAAACUUGACCGAACUCGACUCGAUUUCUAAACGAUUCAAACUCGAACUUAAUUUUUAGGCUUGUUUAGUAAACAAGGCAAACUUAAACCAUAUAGUGUCUUGUUAAGACUCGUGAGCUCGACUUGCGUUCGAAUUUAUGAGCAGACUGGUGAAUAGUCUCGUUAAGCAGACUGAAAUUAAUAUCAUAAGAGAAAUAAAUUUAACUCCUGCAUAUAUUUUCAUGAGGCAAAUCUAAAUUUUAUAAAAUUCAAUUCUAUAUUAUUUAAUUAUACUAUUAAAACUUGCAUAUUUGGAUUAUUAAGAGCUCAUUUUUAUAAGUUUAUAAGCUAAUUUUUAUAUGUGAAAGUCAGCUGCUUGCUUGAUGUGGGACGUCCCACAUCGGCGAAGUACAAAAAAUCAAAAUUGUAUAUAAUAAUUAGUAUGAAACUACUAAAUAACUUGAGUUAACCAUUUUGAGUUAGGUGGAAACUGAAUUCCAAGUUAUUUGGGUCAAAACUACCCCUGAGUCAGAGCUAGUGGCCCUGUCACAAUACCGAAGUUGAGCUUAUUAAUACUUAACUCGUCUAAAUUCAGUUCGAGUUCGAAAUGAGUAAAACUCGAGUUUGGCUUGAACUUAAAAAAAUUUUAACGAACUAAAUUUGAACUCUUCAAAUCUCAGCUCUACUCGUCGUUUACACCCUAAGUAAAAUUUUAAAAGUGUUUAAACUACUAACGGAUUUAAAAAUCCGUUACUAAAUAUUAUCAUCAAAUUAAUAAGUAUUAAAUUUAUUAACGGAUGCUAUCCACUAAUAAAUCUUUUAAUAAAUUUAAAAUAAAAUCCUACAAAAAAUUUCUGCAUUCUUUUUUUAUAACUCAUAUUUUUCAAAUUUUAAAUCCAUUGGUAAUUUUUUGAGAGAAAAAAAAAAAUUUUUUUUCAAAAUUUAGUAACGAGUCGUAAAUUUAUUAGUAAUUCACGUUUAUAAAUAUAACACAAACUCCUCUACUUUUAUCAUUCAUUCAUUUUAUAUCAUCCACCUUUCUUUCAUUUUUUUCACUUUCUCUCAUUUUCUUUUUUUCUAUUACAUUCUUUCAUUUUAUUUUUUUAUCUCAUAAUUUUUUUUUAUUUUUCUAUUAUUUUUCUUUCCUCUCUUAUCCUAUUUUCUCAUGGUUCUCUUUUAUCUUCUAUUAUUUUUUUCAUUCUUCAUAAUUUUCCUUUCAUUUUCUCCCUUUUCUUUUCCAUAUUUUUUUUUUCCUUUCCUCUCUAUACUUUUCAUUCAUAUUAGUUUUUUUAAUAUUAUUUUCUUCUAUUAUUUUCUUUCUAUUUACAUUUUUUCUAUUAUUUUCUCUUUAUUUAUUUUCUUCUCUAAGCAUUUGUUCACUUUUUUUCAUUUUUCUAAUCAUCUUUUUACUCAACUCUCAUUCAUUCUUUUUUUUCAUAAUUUUUAUUUUUCUAUUAUUUUCUUUAUUUUUCUCUUUUUUCUUUAUUUUUUAUUAUUUUCUCUCAUUUUAUACCAUUUAUUUUUUUAUUUUCACUUUUUUAGAUAUAAAUUAAAAACUUGGUAACAAUAAUAAUAUAAUUUUAAGUCUUAUUAAAUUAAUAAAAAAUUAUUUAAACUCUCAAUAGAUAUAUUAAUGAAUUGCAAUUCAUUGAUAAUUGACUAACAGAUUUCACAUCUGUUAAUAAAUUAUUUUUCUCUUAUACUAACGAAUUUAAAAUUUAUUAAUAAUUUAAAAUCUAUUAGUAAUAAUAGCGGGAAUUCCAUUAGUAAAUCCACUAGUUUACUGACGAAAUUAAAAACUGUUGGUAAAAAUUUAAUACCGACAUUUUAAUAACGGAUCGUAAUCUAUUAGAAAUCCCUUAUUAAUUAAUUUACCAACGAAUUUUUAUUAGAUUGCUAAUGGAAAAAUCAAUGCAUUAUUAAUAUAAAUUAAGAAGUUGAUUCUUAUCUUUACAAUAAGAUAUCUUUUAAACUCUUAAAAAUUUUGAAGCUAAAAUUGAAGAAACAUUCAUGACGUUAUAUUUUUCAUUUCAUGCAAGAUGAUAUCUGUUAUUGGAAUGCAUAUGAUUAUUUUAUUGAUAUAAAAUAAGUAUAAAGAAUAUACAAUUAAAAAGAUAAUUAUACUUAUCGAUCCGUUCGUAUCAUUUAAUUUUACUGUCUCUUUAUAAAUCUAUUUAUAUCCAUUUAAUUUUAAUCUCAUAUAGGUAAAUUAUAAGAGAUGAAGAGUUCUCCUUCCUUCCCUAUAAAAAGAGAAGGCCUCUCUUCCCUUCAAUAUUAGUACCUGAUUUUUUAUAAUUUAUAAUAUAAUAUACUAUAUAUUAAAUGUAUAGAAAUAAUUUAAUUAUUAUAAAUUUAAGUUAAUAUUAUUAAUAAUAAAAUAAAAUAAUAAAUAAAAUUUAAAAUGCAAAAUAUAUUUAGUGAGUUUAACAUUUCAAAAUUUUAUUAUUUUGAAAUAAUUUUAUAUNNNNNNNNNNNNNNNNNNNNNNNNNNNNNNNNNNNNNNNNNNNNNNNNNNNNNNNNNNNNNNNNNNNNNNNNNNNNNNNNNNNNNNNNNNNNNNNNNNNNNNNNNNNNNNNNNNNNNNNNNNNNNNNNNNNNNNNNNNNNNNNNNNNNNNNNNNNNNNNNNNNNNNNNNNNNNNNNNNNNNNNNNUUUUUUCCUCAUCUAUAUUAUAUACAAUUAGACUAUAAUAAUAUUUUUAAAAAUAUACAUUGAUAAUUAUUUAUUCAAUAAGGAAUAUUAUUUAAUAAAAUAAAAAAUCAAUAUUCUACAAUUAUAUUUAUAAUAUUUUAUUUAAAAAUAUAAAGUUAACAAAAUUAAUUAAUUUUCAAAUAAAUUUAAUUAAAUAUAAGGUACGGUUAUAAUAAAAUAUUAUUUUUAUGAAAAUCAAUUUAAUUAAUUCUCUAUAUUUUUAUUAAGAAUCAAAUAAAUUUAAUUUAAAAUUUUUAAAACUUUAAGCUAAUUAAACUAUAUAAUUUUAUUAAAGGCUAAAUAGAUUCUAACUUAAAAUGAUUUUUUAAUAAUAAAAUAUUAUUUUUAUAAUUUAAAAUAUUAAAAUUUAAUAUUUUAAUUAUCAUAAAAUUUUUAAAAAUAUAUAAAUAUAAUAAAUAAUUUUUAAAAUUAUAAAAAAAAAAGUUUUAUCAUAUAAAAAUUUUUAUUAUUAAAAAAUAAUAUUAUGUUAGAUUAUGAUUUAUUUGACUUUUGAGUAAUAAUAUAGAGAUUUAAUUUAUUUAAAAUUUUGAAUUAAAAUUAUUUAACUCUUCAAUAAAAGUAGAGACUUAAUUGCAUUUAUAUUUAUAAAAUUAUUAUUAUAAAAUGAUAAAUUUAAUUUGUUAUUAAAUAAUAUUUUUAUAUGAAAAAUUAAUUAAAAAAAUUACAAAAUGUGGCGCAUAUAAACAAUUCCCAAUUUCCUUUUGUUAUCCUUACCACAUUACCAGCAGGCAGAGAGCCUUCCUUUUCCGAUUCUCUAUUUCCGUUUCUCAUUCCCAAUCUCCGAUCCAUCCCUAAAAACGACUGACAAGAGAUCGAUGAUGAUGAAGAUGCCUUGGAGGAGGAAGAGCAGGAGCUUCCAUCUUCAGCUACAAGGGGCAAUUGGUACCAUUCAAUCUCCAUUCCUAUUCUUAUUUACCAAUUAUUGUCAUUCUUCUACUUCCACACUUGAAGAUGCACGCUUCUUGACAAAUAACUUCAAAUCUGCUUCUUUUACCCACCUUGAUGAUGCCAUUGCUUCCUUCAAUCAUGUAAUUCAUAAGCAUCCUCUGCCUUCUAGGGUUCCAUUUAAUAGAUUCUUAUCUGCCCUUGUGAAAAUGAAACAAUAUCACACUGUCCUUUCCAUGUCCAAAACAAUUGAAUUGCUAGGAAUCUCUCACGAUGUUUAUUCUCUUAGCAUAUUAAUUAAUUGCUUCUGCCAUUUACACAUUGUGGAUUUUGGCUUCUCUGUUUUUGGUAAGAUGCUCAAAUUCGGAUUGGAGCCUACCACUGUGACGUUUACUACCUUAAUUAAUGGGCUUUGUAUGGAGAGUAAAAUCCAUAAAGCAGUGGAAUUUUUCGAUGAUAUGGUUGCACGUGGUUAUCAACCUAAUGUUCGUACUUUCAAUGUGAUAGUAAACGGAUUGUGUAAAUUUGGGAAAACAAACGUGGCUAUUGGGCUACUAAAGGGAAUGGCUGAUAGAGGUUGUGAGCCAAAUGUUGUGACAUACAAUGCAAUCAUUGACGCACUUUGCAAGGAUGAGCUAGUUGGUGAAGCUUUAGAGCUCUUCUCUCAAAUGAGGAAUAAGGGCAUUUCACCUGAUGUCAUCACUUACACUAGUUUAAUUCAUAGUGUUUGCAAAUUAGGCCAAAAGAACCAAGCUUUGGCCUUGAUGAAUGAAAUGGUUGAGUGGAACAUAUUACCAAAUGUUUAUACCUUCAAUGUAUUGAUUGAUGCUCUUUGUAAGGAUGGAAUGGUUUCAGAGUCUCAAAAUACAUUCAAUGUAAUGAUUCAAAGAGGUGUAGAGCCUGAUGUGGUCACAUACAAUUCCUUAAUUGAUGGUCUUUGCAUUUCAGACCAAUUCAAGGAAGCUUUGGCCUUGUUGAAACAAAUGGUGGGGAGGAAUAUAUCCCCUGAUGUUUUUACCUUCAAUAUAUUGAUCGACACUCUUUGUAAGAAAGGACUGGUUUCAAAUGCACAGAAUAUAAUCAAAAUAAUGAUUCAAAGAGGUGUGGAACCUGAUGUUGUCACUUAUAAUUCAUUGAUGGAUGGAUAUUGUCUAUGCAAGCAAAUUGAUAAGGCUAGAAAGGUAUUUGAUCUGAUGGUGACCAAUGAAAUAGCUGACAUUUUAGGCUACAGCAUUUUGAUCAAUGGAUAUUGUAAGUGCAAAAUGAUAGAUGAUGCAGAGGAACUUUUUGAUGAAAUGUCUCAUAAAGGUUUAGUUCCUAAUGUUGUUACUUAUCAUACUCUUAUAAAGGGUAUGUUUCAAGCAGGGAGGCCCCAAAAUGCAAAAGAGCUUUUUAAGGAUAUGUGCUCUCAUGGUCAACAGCCAGAUAUAGUAACCUUCUCAAUUAUGAUUGAUGGCUUGUGUAGACAGGGGAAUCUCGAUGAGGCACUCGCACUAUUGAAAGCAAUGGAGAAAAGUCGGUUGAAGCCUAAUGUUGUGAUCUAUAGCAGUCUGAUCAAUGGUAUGUGCAAAGUUGGGAAGAUUAAUGAUGCCAAGGAACUAUUUUCUAGUCUUUUUGAAAUUGGUUUACAACCUGAUGUUUAUGUAUAUAGCGCAAUUAUGAAAGGACUCUGCCAACAGGGAUUAAUGGAUGAAGCGUAUAAGGUAUUUAAAGACAUGGAAAAGGUAGGAUGUUUACCAAAUAAUUGUUGUUAUAAUAUCAUCAUUCAAGGGUUUCUCAAGCAUGAGGAUUUACCAAAAGCAUCAGAACUAAUCAACGAAAUGGUUGAUAAGGGGUUCUCUGCUGAUGCUGCUACCACAGAAUUGGUAGUACAUUUAUUGCGGAAUAAUGAUCUCAUUCUGAGGCUUUUAAAGGCGCGCAACUAGGGAUUAGCAAACUAAAGUUGUUAUAUCUUGACCAUUCAAGUGUAUCUUGGAGCGCAACUUGGUAAUUACCUUUUUCAAAUAUAAUAGAUAUGUAAUUUAACUGACUUCCUCAAAUAUCAUUUUUAAUUUCAAUCAGCUGUGAUUCUCUUUCACAAAAUGAAAAUUUCUAACACCGCAAAUGACCUGUGGUGGAAACCAUGAUAUGUGUGUGCCUUUCGCUUGAAUUCAGAUAUGGACUUGAUCUCUUUGAUAUAAGAUUGUUGGAGAAUGGAGGUCAUGGAUUACUAAUGAUCAAGUUGCUGGUAAACCCACCAUCUCCUUUACAAUUUUAUUUUUGGUUGCUACUACAGCCUUAACUCGAGAGCUCAGUCCUAAAAUUGAGUUGAGAACUAAAACUAAUUGGUUUCAUACUACAAUGCUUAACAAUCUUUAUCUAUUAUUAUUUUUGUGCUCAAUGACCUUUUAAAAUGCUAUCAUUUCUCUUGUAGGUACUUGCAAGGAUAUGAUUAGAACUUCACCUUUUUAACAAUAAAGGUGUAAGCAAUUCUUUUUGCUGAAUUAUUAUAUUUUUAAUAAUAAUGAAAAUAAUGAUUAUAAACCAGUGUGCUUUAAUUGAGAAUUGAUUUAACAAUUAGACUACCCUAUAAAUGCAGGGUGCAAGAUACAGUACCAGAGUACAAGGUAAGAGAAUCACUAGACUUCUACGGCUGUUGGUUGGAAUAAAUGUCACUAAAAGUAUAGACAACAGAAAAUGUUAUGGGAAUUGAGGGAAAAGCAAAAAAAGACUAUGAAAAUCAGACAUAUGCAGCCACUGAGACAAGCAACUGCAAUUGGUCCUACUAGAGAUUGAAAUGCUAGUUUAGCUUCAGCUAUUUAACAGGACUUUUUGUCCAAAUUUAUUUAUGAACAAGUUCAUAAAAGGCAGGAUAGCUCUAUAUAUAACUCAGCUAUAAUCAAAGAAGGUGGCAGGAAAAAUGUCAAUACAAUGAAACUUCAUCUGAUUAAAUGGAAUACUCUUUGGUUGCCUAAAAAGAAUGGAGGCUUAGGCAUGAAAGAGAUCUGUCUUCAAAUUCAAGCUCUUUUGUUCAAAUGGCUUUGGAGAUUUGGAAAUCAUAGGGAUUCACUCUGAGUUCAACUUCUUCUAUCCAAAUAUUCUUUCAAUUUGGAGAAGGGUAUCUCUCUUGCUCCAGGAAAUUGCAUUUCUUCCCUUCAGAAAGACAUUCGAGGGUAUGCUACUUUCGAUGAACUCUUUCUCCUCUCCUUGAAUUCAUAUCAGAUUUGCUGUGGGGAAUGAGAUGAAAAUGAAAUUUUGGAAUGAGAGACGAUCGGUUGGUAAUAUUGCUCUCAAAUUCUCCUUUAGCAGACUAUUAAAUUUAGCUGCUAACCUAGAUGUGUUGAUGUUAAAUACGGGCUGUUGGGUGAAGAGCAAAUGGGAAUGGGAAAUAAUUGAAUUGUCAAUAUUAUACUUAAUCUUUUAUAUUAUUUCUAAUAAUAUAUUUUAUUAUUUAAAUAAAUUUAUUUUAGAGUUUUUAUGAAUUUAAAAUUUUAAGUUCCAUAAAUAAAUGUGGCAAUAUUUAUGUAAGAUUGUAAAUUCAAUAUUUUUUAAAAAGGUAGUUUUAGAAAAAAUAAAAUCGAUUUUGUAAACAACUUUUAAAAAAUGGAAAACCCAAUUACUUUAAAAAUAUCCAUUUCCAUAUAAAUUUAAUUAAAAAAUAAAUAUUUGCUUCUUUUUUUUUUAACUUUCAUUCCCCAUUAUUAUUUAUAAAUACUAAUAAUUACAUUGUAAAAUUUAUAAUUUAUUUUUAUUAAUAUAAUUUAUUUAAUUAAUUUAUGAUAUAAUAUUUUAAUUUGCAUAUAAAAUCCACAUGUUCACUACUAUUUUAAUGGAUUAAAAAACUAUAUAAAUAUACAUUAUUUAAAAUAUUUGAAUUUGAUUUGUUCAAUUAAUUUACUAUUUUAAUUUAAUUUAUGUUCUAUUAACAAAUAUAAUAUUAAAAUUUUCAUAGAUUGAGUAUUUUAUUAAAACUAUUAUAUAUUUUAAUAAUUUACUUAUAUUAAGACUAUUAUUAAUUAUUAAAAUUCUAAUACUAUUAAAAUAAAAAAUUUUAUUUUUUUUAAUAAGAGUACAGUUUUGUGAAUAAUAUUUUUUAUAUAUUAAAAUAAAAUUAUAAAUAAAAUAAUUAAAAAUAAAUAUUAUACAUGUUAAAAAAUUAAUAAUUAUUAAAAUUUGAAUAAUUAAUAUUAUUAAAAUACAAAUGGAAUUUAUAAAUAAUUAAUUUAGUGUGAAUAUUUCAUAUAAUUUGUGAUAAUCUAUCCCAUUUCAAACUCCUAACAAAAAAAUCUACUGACCUAUAAACUAAAUCUGCCAUCUUAAGAAACUUAAAACCAUAAAACCAAGAAAUUUUAUUUAUUCUCAGAAUUAUAAACUUAACCAUCACUUAAUUACCAUAUUUACCGAUUAACAUUAAUAAAUUAAAAUGAAAAUAAUUACAUAAUUAAUAAAAAUUCUUCUUCACUGCUUUAAUUUGCAAUUUUUUUUAAAACCAAUUAAUAAACUAAUCCAGCUAAAAAAUUUUAUUUAAUGCUAAAAAUCUAAAUUUUAUCAGAAAAAUCUAAUCUUUAUCCAUAUAUAUAAAUUGAAUCCCAAUUACUCUUCUCUCCUAUAAAAUUUCCUUUUGAGUUUUCUCACUCUCAAACAUUUUCUUAACUUAGAAAAUUUUAAUCAAUAAUGCCAUCGUGGAGAGCUUCUAACAUGAAAAUGGAUUCUCGCUCGAAAAUUUUAGGUCAACGACAUGUAACCAAGUCAUCUUUUUCCUACAAGUUACUUUCUAGUUCGACUGAUCAAAAAACUAAAAUACCGCAAAUUCAAAAGGGUUAUGUAGCAAUAUACGUGGGUGACGAGAGAAAGAGAUAUCAAGUUCUAAUAGAGAAUCUAGAGUUUUCGACAUUACAAGAACUUAUUAAACAGUCUCACGAUAGUGAUUUCGACUCCAAGAUUGAUGGACCAAUCGUGCUUACUUGCACUACUGAUAGGUUUGAUGAACUCCUGAAAUUUAUAAAUGGUUGACAUAUAAAACUUUAGAGAGUUUUAAAUAAUUAUUUUUUAUAUGUUUAAAUUACUAAUAAAUCCUUAUAUUUUAUCAAAAUUAGCUAUUUAAUCCCUAUUUUCAAAUCAUUAAAUUAAAACAUUUUGAAUUUUAUAAAGUCAAACUCUUUGAUAUUCUUAACGAAUAAAAUAUUAGUAAAUAUAUUUUUAAUUUUAAUUAGAAAAAUUAAAUUAUAUAUAUAAUUAAAAAAUAAAUAAAUAAUAUAAAAAUUUAUUUUAAUCGAAUAACAUAAAAAUAAAAAAUUAAAUAGUCAAUUUUGAUAAAAUAUAAUAACCAAAUAAUAAUUCAGACCCUUCAUGGCAAUUUCUCAGUAAUUUUAUCGAUUAUAUCUACCAUUUAUAUACCUCCUUUUUCAAGUUUUAUUUUUUCUAUCAUUGAUUUUUGUCAAUUUUUUAUUAUUUUAUCCGAUUUAAAUAAAUAACUUCUAUUUUAUUAUUUUAUUAAUUUUUUUAUUAUUAUUCUAAAGUUAUUGUUCACUUUCUUUCAUUAUAAUAAUAUAUAAUUGACUAUUAUAAUCUUAUUUAAUUUUAUAUUAUUUUCAAAUUAAUCUAUCAUUGAUUAUUAUUUUUUCAAAUAAGUAUUCAAAAUAUUUCUUAAUAUUUAAUAAAAUUUAAUAUUUUUAAAAUAGUAUAAUUGAAAAUUUUAUAAAAUAAAUUAUUUUUUAAUAUGUGUGAAAAAUUUAUAUUCAGAAAAUAAAUUUUUAUUAAAAAAUAAAUAAACUAUUAUAAUUAAAUCAUCAUUAUUUUCAUCUAUUUUUCACUCAUUAAAAUAUAUUUUUAAUGAUAUCAUUAUUAAUAUUUGUAAAUAUAUUUUUUAAUAUAAGUUAUCCAUCAAUUAUUUAUGAUUUAUUAUUGUAGAGUUGAUUUUUAAUUAUAUUUACUGUAAAAAAAAAAUCUUUUCACUAUUGUUAAAACAUGUAAAUUUAUAAAAAAAUUAUAAAAAUAAUAUAAUAUUUUAAUACAGGAUUUACUAUUAAAAUUUAUUUUUUUAAAAAAAAAAUUUAACUCAUUAAAAUUUAUUUUUGUAUAAUUUUAAUUUUAUAAAUAGAUUAAUAACAAAGUAAGAUAAAUAAAAAAAAUUAUAAUUUAAUAAUAAAAAUAGUAUUAUAAAAAUAAAUUAAAUAAUGAGUGAAUAACUUAAAAAAAAAAUUAAGUGGAGAUUUGAAUUUGAAAUCUUAAAAAUGAAAAGUAAAUUUUUUGAAUUGAAAAAUAAUAUAGAAGAUGAGAGAUUAAAUAAUAAAAAUUUCUUUGAUAAAUAUAUUAAAUAAUUUAAAAUUAUAAAAUAUAAUUAUAAUUUAAUUAAAUAAUUUUGAAAUAAGGUCGAAUUGGUAAAUUUUUAAAAUAUAUAAAAAUUUAAUAAUAAUUUUUCAUAUUUUAAGAAAAAUUAUCUAUACACCUUAAAAAAAUUUCAAAAAUUUCAAAAGGCUUAGGAGUCUGUCAAUGUGCACUAUCUUGCUAUUCGUUUGACACCAAACCCUUAGAUAAAGGUAAUAUAGAAAUUAAAACUUUAUUUAUUUCAUAAAAAAUAUUUUAUAAAAAAUAUUACACGUAUAGUUUUAAUAAUAAUAAAAAAAACAGCUAAUUUAGGGGUUAAGUGUCACUUUAUAAUUUUUGUGUUUUUAUUUUUCUAAAAACUAAUUAUAUAAAAAUAAAUAUAAAUUUUUUAUAUAAUAAUAAGAAAUAAUAUAAAUUUUUAAAAUAUGAUAUUUAAUAGCAAAAUAAUAAUUUUUAAAAUAAUAAAAUUUUAAAUUUUAUAAAAAAAUUCACUGAUUGCCCACAUAUAUAUAUAUAUAUAUAUAAAUUGAAUUCCAAUUACUCUUCUCUACUAUACAAUUUUUUUUCGAGUUUCUCACUCUUAAAUCUUUUAUUAAUUUAAAAAAAUUUUACCAAUAAUAUCAAGGCGGGAGCUUUUUAGCAGGAAAAUGAAAUCUCUUUUUAAGAUUUUAGACACCGUUAUACAAUUAAGUCAUAUUUUUCUUAUAAAUUACUCUCAAGUUUGACUAAUUAGAAAGCUAAAAUUCCACAAAUUUAAAUAGGCUAUGUAGCCAUAUACAUAAAUUUUGAAGGUAAGAGAUAUCAAAUUUCAGUAGUGAAUCUGAAGUUUCCAGUAUUACAAGAACUGAUUAAACAGUCUUAAAACAGUAAUCUCGACUCCAAGAUUGAUAACCAAUCGUACUUGCUUGCACUACUGACAAAUUUAAUGAACUACUGAAAUUUAUAGAGGUUAUCAUAUGAAACUUUAGAGAGUUUUAAAUAAUUCUUUUUUAUAUGUUUAAAUUACUAAUAAGUCCUUCCAUUUUAUUAAAAUUAAUCAUUCAAUCUCUAUUUCUAAAUUAUUCAUUUAAAAUAUUUUAAAUUUUAUAAACUCAAAUUCUUUAAUAUUUUUAUCUAAUAAAAUAUUAGUAAAUAUAUUUUUAGCUUUAAUUAGAAAAAAUUAAAUUAUAUAUAAUAUAAAAUUUUAUUUUAACCAAAUGACAAAAUUAAAAAAUUAAACGGUCAAUUUUGACAAAAUAUAAAAGUCAAAUAAUAAUCCACUCUUUUCUAUCUUAAAUUAAUUUUUUGGGUACUUCAUGGAAAAUUCUCAAUAAUAAUCUACUCUUUUAUAUAAAAAUAUUAAUAAAUUAUGUUUACACAACAUAUCAUAGAAAUUAGAUAAUAAAUUUUACUUAUAAAAAAAUUUAAAAUAUUUUUAAUACGGAUAAACUAAUUAAUAAAUAUUUUUAUAAAACUAAAAAAUUAAUUAAUAAAUUUUUAAUAUCAUAAAAACUAAAUAAUAAAAUGUUUAAUAAUUAAAACUAAUAAAAUGACUAAUUAAUAUAUUUUUUAAAAUUUAAAGGAUUUUUUAUUUUAUUUUUCAAAAUUAAUUAAUAAAUUUUUUUAUAUUAAAUAAUAAUUUUUUAUAAUAAUAAAAUAAAGAUAUAUUUUAUAAAUUAAUUAAAUAAAUAUUUAUUUAAUAAUAUGAAUUUGACUGAUGAAAUAAAAUUUUAAAAUUUUUAACGAUAAUUUAAUAAAAGUUAUAUAUAUAUAAAAAAAAAAAUCGCAAUGACAAUAAACAUAUUCUUAACUUUUCUCGUUAAUGGCACGUAUAUAACUAUUAAUAAUAUAAGGUUUUAAAGUGAAAAUACAUAUUUUCUCCAAAUGUCAUAUAGGAAAAAGAAGAAAUGAAAUAUCACUUAAAAUUAUUAUAAAUUAAUAAAUAAUAUAACUUAUAAAUUAUAUAAAUUUACUGUGAGUAGAAAUUGAACUUGUUAUGUAUUUAAUUAUUAUCAUAUUUUAAAUUUAUUAUACAAGAAAAUAAUAAUUUUUUAUUUAAUAAUAACUUUUAUUGUUAUUAAAUUUUUUUUAUCACUAUAUUAAUUAUUAUUAUAUAAAUUUAAUUUGUUAUUAAAUAAUAUUUUUAUAUGAAAAAUUAAUAAAAAAAAUACAAAAUGUGGUGCAUAUAAACAACUAGUAACGCAUUUCCUUUUGUUAUCCUUACCACUUUACCAGCUGGCAGAGAGCCUUCCUUUUCCGAUUCUCUAUUUCCUUUCCUCAUUCCCAAUCUCCGAUCCAUCCCUAAAAACAACUGAGGAGAGAUCGAUGAUGAUGAAGAUGCCUUGGAGGAGGAAGAGCAGGAGCUUCCAUCUUCAGCUACAAGGGGCAAUUGGUACCAUUCAAUCUCCAUUCCUUUUCUUAUUUACCAAUUAUUGCCAUUCUUCUACUUCCACACUUGAAGAUGCACGCUUCUUGACAAAUAACUUCAAAUCUGCUUCUUUUACCCACCUUGAUGAUGCCAUUGCUUCCUUCAAUCAUGUAAUUCAUAAGCAUCCUCUGCCUUCUAGGGUUCCAUUUAAUAGAUUCUUAUCUGCCCUUGUGAAAAUGAAACAAUAUCACACUGUCCUUUCCAUGUCCAAAACAAUUGAAUUGCUAGGAAUCUCACACGAUGUUUAUUCUCUUAGCAUCUUAAUUAAUUGCUUCUGCCAUUUACACCUUGUGGAUUUUGGCUUCUCUGUUUUUGGUAAGAUGCUCAAAUUGGGAUUGGAGCCUAACAUUGUGACAUUUACGACCUUAAUUAAUGGGCUUUGUAUAGAGAGUAAAAUCGACAAAGCAGUGGAAUUUUUCGAUGAUAUGGUUGCACGUGGUUAUCAACCUGAUGUUCGUACUUUCAAUGUGAUAGUAAACGGAAUGUGUAAAUUUGGGAAAACAAAUGUGGCUAUUGGGCUACUGAAGGGAAUGGCUGAUAGAGGUUGUGAGCCAGAUGUUGUGACAUACGGAGCAAUCAUUGACGCCCUUCGCAAGGAUGAGCUAGUUGGUGAGGCUUUAGAGCUCUUCUCUCAAAUGAGGAAUAAGGGCAUUUCACCUGAUGUCAUCACUUACACUGGUUUAAUUCACGGUGUUUGCAAAUUAGGCCAAAAGAACCAAGCUUUGGCCUUGAUGAAUGAAAUGGUGGAGCAAAACAUAUUACCAGAUGUUUAUACCUUCAAUGUAUUGAUUGACGCACUUUGUAAGGAUGGAAUGGUUGCAGAGGCUCAAAAUACAUUCAAUGUAAUGAUUCAAAGAGGUGUAGAGCCUGAUGUGGUCACCUACAAUUCCUUAAUUGAUGGUCUUUGCAUUUCAGACCAAUUCAAGGAAGCUUUGGCCUUGUUGAAAGAAAUGGUCGGGAGGAACAUAUCCCCUAGUGUUUUUACCUUCAAUAUAUUGAUCGACACUCUUUGUAAGAAAGGACUGGUUUCAAAUGCACAGAAAAUAAUCAAGAUAAUGAUUCAAAGAGGUGUGGAACCUGAUGUUGUCACUUAUAAUUCAUUGAUGGAUGGAUAUUGUCUGUACAGGGAAAUUGAUAAGGCUAGAAAGGUAUUUGAUCUGAUGGUGACCAAUGAAAUAGCUAACAUUUUUAGCUACAGCAUUUUGAUCAAUGGAUAUUGUAAGUGCAAAAUGAUAGAUGAUGCAAAGGAACUUUUUGAUGAAAUGUCUCUUAAAGGUUUAGUUCCUAAUGUUGUUACUUAUUCUACUCUUAUAGAGGGUAUGUUUCGAGCAGGGAGGCCCCAAAAUGCAAAAGAGCUUUUUAAGGAUAUGUGCUCUCAUGGUCAACAGCCAGAUAUAGUAACCUUCUCAAUUAUGAUUGAUUGCUUGUGUAGACAGGGGAAUCUCGAUGAGGCACUCACACUAUUGAAAGCAAUGGAGAAAUGUCAGUUGAAGCCUAAUGUUGUGAUCUAUAGCAGUCUGAUCAAUGGUAUGUGCAAAGUUGGGAAGAUUAAUGAUGCCAAGGAACUUUUUUCUAGUCUUUUUGAAAUUGGUUUACAACCUGAUGUUUAUGUAUAUAAUGCAAUUAUGAAAGGACUCUGUCAACAAGGAUUAAUGGAUGAAGCGUAUAAGGUAUUUAAAGACAUGGAAAAGGUAGGAUGUUUACCAGAUAAUUGUUGUUAUAAUAUCAUCAUUCAAGGGUUUCUCAAGCAUGAGGAUUUACCAAAAGCAUCAGAACUAAUCAACGAAAUGGUUGAUAAGGGGUUCUCUGCUGAUGAUGCUACCACAGAAUUGGUCGUACAUUUAUCACAGAAUAAUAAUCUCAUUCUGAGGCUUUUAAAGGUGCGCAAUGAGGGAUCAGCAAACUAAAGUUGUUAUAUCUUGACCAUUCAAGUGUAUCUUGGACCGCAACUUGGUAAUUACCUUUUUCAAAUAUAAUAGAUAUUUUAUUUAACUAACUUCUUCAAAUAUCAUUUUUAAUUUCAAUCAGCUGUGAUUCUCUUCCACAAAAUGAAAAUUUCUAACACCGCAAAUGACCUGUGGUGGAAACCGUGAUAUGUGUGUGCCUUUCGCUUAAAUUCAGAUAUAGACUUGAUCUCUUUGAUAUAAGAUUGUUGAAGAAUGGAGGUCUUGGAUUACAAUUUUAUUUUUGGUUGCUACUACAGCCUUAACUCCAGAGCUCAAUCCUAAAAUUAAGUUGAGAACUAAAACUAAUUGGUUUCAUACUACAAUGCUUAAGAAUCUUUAUCUAUUAUUAUUUUUGUGCUCAAUGACCUUUUAAAAUGCUAUCAUUUCUCUUGUAGGUACUUGCAAGGAUAUGAUUAGAACUUUACUUUUCUAACAAUAAAGGUAUAAGCAAUUCUUUUUGCUUAAUUAUUAUAUUUUUAAUAAUAAUGAAAAUAAUGAUUAUAAACCAGUGUGCUUUAAUUGAGAAUUGAUUUAACAAUUAGACUACCCUAUAAAUGCAGGGUGCAGGAUGUACAAUCCCAGAGUACAUGGUAAGAGAAUCACUAGACUUCUACGGCUGUUGGUUGGAUGAAAUGUCACUAAAAGUAUAGACAACAGAAAAUGUUAUGGGAAUUGAGGGAAAAGCAAAAGAAGACGAUGAAAAUCAGACGUAUGCAGCCACUGAAUGUGUUGAUGGACAAGCAACUGCAAUUGGUCCUACUAGCGAUUGGAAUGCUAGUUUAGCUUCAGCUAUUUAACAGGACUUUUUGUCCAAAUUUAUUUAUGAACAAGUUCAUAAAAGGCAGGAUAGCUCUAUAUAUAACACAGGUAUAAUCAAAGAAGGUGGCAGGAAAAAUGUCAAUACAAAGAAACUUCAUCUGAUUAAAUGGAAUACUCUUUUGUUGCCUAAAAAGAAUGGAGGCUUAGGCAUGAAAGAGAUCUCUCUUCAAAUUCAAGCUCUUUUGUUCAAAUGGCUUUGGAGAUUUGAAAAUCAUAGGGAUUCACUCUGAGUUCAACUUCUUCUAUCCAAAUAUUCUUUCAAUGUGGAGAAGGGUAUCUCUCUUGCUCCAGGAAAUUGCAUUUUUUCCCGUCAGAAAGACAUUCGAGGCUAUGCUACUUUCGAUGAACUCUUCCUUCUCUCCUUGAAUUAAUAUCAGAUUUGCUGUGGGGAAUGAGAUGACAAUGAAAUUUUGGAAUGAGAGACGAUCGGUUGGUAAUAUUGCUCUCAAAUUCUCCUUUAGCAGACUAUUAAAUUUAGCAGCUAACCUAGUUGUGUUGAUGUUAAACAUUAGCUGUUGGGUGAAGAACAAAUGGGAAUGGGAAAUAAUUGAAUUGUCUAAAAUAUACUUAAUCUUUUAUAUUAUUUCUAAUAAUAUAUUUUAUUAUUUAAAUAAUUUUUAUGAAUUUAAAAUUCUAAUUUCCAUAAAUAAAUGUGGUAAUAUUUAUGUGAGAUUGUAAAUUCAAUAUUUUUUAAAAAGGUAGUUUUAGAAAAAAUAAAAUCGAUUUUGUAAACAAAUUUUGAAAAAUGGAAAACCCAAUUACUUUAAAAAUAUCCAUUUCCAUAUAAAUUUAAUUAAAAAAUAAAUAUUUGCUUCUUUUUUUUUUUAACUUUCGUUCCCCAUUAUUAUUUAUAAAUACUAAUAGUUACAUUGGAAAAUUUAUAAUUUAUUUUUAUUAAUAUAAUUUAUUUAAUUAAUUUAUAAUAUAAUAUUUUAAUUUGCAUAUAAAUUCCACAUGUUCACUCCUAUUUUAAUGGAUUAAAAAAUUAUAUAAAUAUACAUUAUUUAAAAUAUUUUAAUUUGAUUUGUUCAAUUAAUUUACUAUUUUAAUUUAAUUUAUGUUCUAUUAACAAAUAUAAUAUUAAAAUUUUUCAUAGAUUGAGUAUUUUACAUAGAAUAAAAAUAUAAAAUUAUUUAGAAUUUUGUCAUAUCUUUCAAAUUAUAAAUCACUAAGUACAAUUUAUUAUUGAAAAUUAAUAAUUUUAAAUAAAAUAAAAAUAUAUUAUUAUUGUUAUUAAUUUUGAAAUUUAUAUUGUAUUAGGAUAAAGUUUUUUAGUUAUAAUUUAUAUAUAAUUUGACUAUAAUAAUUUUUUUAAAAAAAUGUAUAUUAACGGUAAUUUUAUUAAAUAACAGAUAUUAGCAAAUAAAAUUAAAAUUUGAAUAUUUCAAUUAUAGUAAAAAAAUCAACUAAAAUUAUUUAUUUUCUUAAUGUUAUUUUAUUUUAAUUCUUUUAGAUACUUUGAUUAAAUAUAUUCAUAUAAAAUGUGAUAUUAAGAUAAUAGGAGCCCAAAUUUAAUUGCCUAUUUGCAAUAAUAAUAAUAAUAAUAAUAAUAAUAAUAAUAAUAAUAAUAAUAAUAAUAAUAAUAAUAAUAAUAAUAUUUAAUAAUAAUAAUAAUAAUAAUAUUUAAUAAUAAUAAUAAUAAUAAUAUUAUCAUUAUUAUUAUUAUUAUUAUUAUUAUUAUUAUAUAAAAAAUUAGAUAAUUAAUAAAAAUUCCUCUUCACUAGGGUGAGCAGUAUUCAGUUCAAACCGAAAAAAUCGACCGAAUCGAAUUAAUUUGAAAAUUCAGUUCGGUUUUUUAUUUAUUUCGAUUCAGUUCGGUUUUAAAUUUCAGAAAUUUUGGUCAAAUCGAUUCGGUUCGAUUUUAAUCAGAAAAAAAUCGAAAAAACCGAACCGAACCGAUUAGUAAUAAUAAUAUAGUUUUUUAAUAAUAUAGAGAAAUUAAAUCAUAUUAAAAUUAAAAUAUUUUAAUUAAAUUUUAAAAUAUUAAAAAUAAAUUGUAAAAAAUAAAAAAAUUAUUAAAAAUUGAAACCGAUUAAACCGAAUCGAAUCGAACCGAAUCAGACCGGUUCGGUUCGAUUCGGUUUCUGACCAAAAUCGAUUCGGUUCGGUUUUCAUAAAUACUAAAAUUUCAAUUUUCGGUUUAUUCAGUUCGAUUCGGUUUUGAACAGAACCGACCGAAUGCUCACCCCUAUUCUUCACUGCUUUAAUUUGCAACUUUUUUAAAAUCAAUUAAUAAACUAAUCCAGCUAAAAUAUUUUAUUUAAUGCUAAAAUUCUAAAUUUUAUCUCACUUGUUAUCCAUAUAUAUAAAUUGAAUUUCAAUUACUCUUCUGAAUUUCCUUUCGAGUUUUUUCACUCUCAAAUCUUUUUUUAAUUUAGAAAAGUUUGAUCAAUAAUGUCAUUGUGGAGAGUUUUUAACAGGAAAAUGGAUUCUCUCCCUAGGAUUUUAGGUCAAUGAUAUGCAAUCAAGUCAUUUUUUUCUUAUAAAUUACUCUCCAGUUCAACUGAUCUGAAAACUAAAACACCGCAAAUUAAAAAGGGCUAUGCAACCAUAUACGUGGAUGACGAGGGCAAGAGAUAUCAAAUUCCAAUAGAGAAUCUAAAGUUUUCGACAUUAUAAGAACCGAUUAAACAGUUUCAUGAUAGUGAUCUCGACUCCAAGAUUGAUGGGCCAAUCGUGUUGCUUACACUACUGAUAAGUUUGAUAAACUGCUAAAACUUACAAGAGAUUGUCAUAUGAAACUUUAAAAAAAUUUGAAUAAUUCUUUUCUAUAUGAUUGAAUUACUAAUAAAUUUUUAUGUUUUAUUAAAAUUACAUAUUCGAUUUCUAUUUCGAAAUCACUCAAUUAAAAUAUUUUGAGUUUUAUAAAAUCAAAAACUUUAAUAUUCUUAUCGAAUAAAAUAUUAGUAAAUAUAACAAAUAAAAUUGAAAAUGCCAAAUAUAUGAAAUGAGUUUGAGCAUUUUAAAAUUUUAUUAUAUUGAAAUCAUUUUGUAUAUUAAUUUUUUAUUAUAUUAAUUAAAAUUGUAAUAUUAUUCAAAUAAAAAAUGCUUUAAAUAACUUUUGUAAAAGUAAAGCUUGGUAAAAAAAUUAAUUUAAAAUAAAAUAAUUAAUAAUAAAAAAUUAUAUAAAAUAAAAAUCAAUUAGAUUUUUCAUGAAAUUUUAUUCAAUAUUAAAAAUAAAAUUAACUAUUUAUAUAACCGCCUUUAAUUAGGUACCCAAUAUUGUAUAAAAAAAAUAAUAUAGAAGUAAUAUAUAUGUAUAAUUAACAUACACAAUGUCUACAAAUAGGCAAUAGCCAAUAGCACUUUAGCAAUGAUAAAUUAUUAUUAUAUAAAUUUAAUUUGUUAUUAAAUAAUAUUUUUAUAUGAAAAUUUAAUAAAAAAUUACAAAAUGUGGUGCAUAUAAACAACAGAGUAAUGCAUUUCCUUUACCAGCAGGCAGAGAGCCUUCCUUUUCCAAUUCUCUAUUUCCUUUCCUCAUUCCCAAUCUCCGAUCCAUCCCUAAAAACAACUGAAGAGAGAUAUGAUGAUGAAGAUGCCUUGGAGGAGGAAGAGCAGGAGCUUCCAUCUUCAGCUACAAGGGGCAAUUGGUACCAUUCAAUCUCCAUUCCUAUUCUUAUUUACCAAUUAUUGCCAUUCUUCUACUUCCACACUUGAAGAUGCACGCUUCUUCACAAAUAACUUCAAAUCUGCUUCUUUUACCCGCCUUCAUGAUGCCAUUGCUUCCUUUAAUCAUGUAAUUCAUAUGAAUCCUCUGCCUUCUAGGGUUCAUUUUAAUAGAUUCUUAUCUGCCCUUGUGAAAAUGAAACAAUAUCACACUGUCCUUUCCAUGUCCAAAACAAUUGAAUUUCUAGGAAUCUCACACGAUGUUUAUUCUCUUAGCAUCUUAAUUAAUUGCUUCUGCCACUUACACCUCGGGGAUUUUGGCUUCUCUGUUUUUGGUAAGAUGCUCAAAUUCGGAUUGGAGCCUACCACUGUGACAUUUACUACCUUAAUUAAUGGGCUUUGUAUGGAGAGUAAAAUCGACAAAGCAGUAGAAUUUUUCGAUGAUAUGGUUGCACGUGGUUAUCAACCUAAUGUUUAUACUUAUAAUGUGAUAGUAAAUGGAAUGUGUAAAUUUGGGAAAACAAGUGUGGCUAUUGGGCUACUAAAGGGAAUGGCUGAUAGAGGUUGUGAGCCAAAUGUUGUGACAUACAGUGCAAUCAUUGACGCCCUUUGCAAGGAUGAGCUAGUUGGUGAGGCUUUAGAGCUCCUCUCUCAAAUGAGGAAUAAGGGCAUUUCACCUGAUGUCAUCACUUACACUGGUUUAAUUCACGGUGUUUGCAAAUUAGGCCAAAAGAACCAAGCUUUGGCCUUGAUGAAUGAAAUGGUGGAGCAAAACAUAUUACCAGAUGUUUAUACCUUCAAUGUAUUGAUUGACGCUCUUUGUAAGGAUGGAAUGGUUGCAGAGGCUCAAAAUACAUUCAAUGUAAUGAUUCAAAGAGGUGUAGAGCCUAAUGUGGUCACCUACAGUUCCUUAAUCGAUGGUCUUUGCAUUUCAGACCAAUUCAAGGAAGCUUUGGCCUUGUUGAAAGAAAUGGUGGGGAGGAACAUAUCCCCUGAUGUUUUUACCUUCAAUAUAUUGAUCGACACUCUUUGUAAGAAAGGACUGGUUUCAAGUGCUGAGAAUAUAAUCAAAAUAAUGAUUCAAAGAGGUGUGGAACCUAGUGUUGUCACCUAUAGUUCAUUGAUGGAUGGAUAUUGUCUGUGCAGGGAAAUUGAUAAGGCUAGAAAGGUAUUUGAUCUGACCAAUGAAAUAGCUGACAUUUUUAGCUACAGCAUUUUGAUCAAUGGAUAUUGUAAGUGCAAAAUGAUAGAUGAUGCAAAGGAACUUUUUGAUGAAAUGUCUGAUAAAGGUUUAGUUCCUGAUGUUGUUACUUAUUCUACUCUUAUAGAGGGUAUGUUUCAAGCAAGGAGGCCCCAAACUGCACAGGAGCUCUUUAAGAAUAUGUGCUCUCAUGGUCAACAGCCAAAUAUAGUAACCUUCUCAAUUAUGAUUAAUGGCUUGUGUAGACAGGGGAAUCUCGAUGAAGCACUCACCCUAUUGAAAGAAAUGGAGGAAAGUCAGUUGAAGCCUGAUCUUGUGACCUAUUGCAUUCUGAUCAAUGGUAUGUGCAAAGCUGGCAAGAUUAAUGAUGCCAAGGAACUGUUUUCUAGUCUUUUUGAAAAUGGUUUACAACCUAAUGUUCAUAUAUAUAGUGCAAUUAUGAAAGGACUCUGCCGAGAAGGAUUAAUGGACAAAGCAUAUCAGAUUUUUAGAGACAUGGAAAAGGGAGGAUGUUUACCGAAUAAUUGUUGUUAUAAUAUCAUCAUUCAAGGGUUUCUCAAGCAUGAGGAUUUACCAAAAGCAUCAGAACUAAUCAACGAAAUGGUUGAUAAGGGGUUCUCUGCUGAUGCUACUACCACAGAAUUGGUAGUACAUUUAUCGCAGAAUAAUGAUCUCAUUCUAAGCAAACUACGAAAUCGUUCUGAGGCUUCUAAAGGGGUGCAAUGAGGGAUCAGCAAACUAAAAUUGUUAUAUCUUGACCGUUCAAUGGUGUCUUGGAGAGAAACUUGGUAAUUACCUUCUUCAAAUGUAGUAGAUAUGUAAUUUAACUAACUUCAAAUUUCAUGUUUAAUUUCAAUCAGCUGUGAUUCUCUUCCACAAAACAAAAAUUUCUAACACUGUAAAUUACCUGCAGUGGAAACCAUGAUAUGUUUGUGCCUUUCUCUUGAACUCAGACAUGGACUAGACCUCUUUGGAUAUAAGAUUGUUGAUGAAUGGAGGUCAUAGAUUUCUAAUGAUCAAGUUGCUGGUAAACCCACCAUCUUCCUUACAAUUUUUUUUUGGGCUGCUACUACAGCCUUAACUCGAGAGCUUAGUCCUAAAAAUGAGUUGAGAACUAAAACUACUUGAUUCCAUGCUAUAAUGCUUAAGAAUCUUUAUCUAUUUUACUUUUGUGCUCAAUGACCUUUUAAGAUGCUAUCAUUUUUCAGUAAACAUGCUGCAUUAGGACAAUAACUUGGAGAUUGGAUCAUAUAUUUUGAUUUUUACUAGUAAGAAUGCAGGUGUUAAAUCAGUGAACUAGCAGGUGUUAACACCUGCUUUCUGUAUCAUUUUACCAAAGCUACUCAUGCCUGUUUCCGUCCAUUAGAAUUUAACACCUACUAGUUUAUCAUAUACUUGCAUUACUUGUAAUAAGUUUAUGCUCCCAAAAUGAUUUCUAUUUAUUGCUAGUUUAUUACUUGUAGUAAGUUUAUGCUCAAAAUAAUUUAUAUCUAUUGCUCCUUGAGUUAAUACUUAUAACUUGAACUAGAGUUAAUACUUACUCCUUGAGUGCAAGUUUUAACACCUACUUGUUGAGUUUAAGUAUUAAUUUGAGCUUUUGCAACAGGUACAUCUGAGCUUUAGCAUGGUGCAGUAUGUCUUCCACCAGUCCAUCGGGUCUUUUCCCACAUGCCUGAGAUGAAGAUGGAUUAGAUGAGCAAAUCCAGGAUUUUUGUUGAUUACUUGUUGUACACAUUUUGGGGUACUAUUUGUUUUGGCAUUUACUACAAAAAUAUACUUUUAAUUAUACAUUUUUUUGUGGUUGUACUAGAUUAUUUAUGUGCAAAUUUAAGUUCAAAAGACUUUUCUUUUUAUUAUAAUUGAAUACAUCAGAUUUGUGGUUGAUUUGUGUUAUAUUAUGCAUUUAAUAGGUUGGUUUUGUGAUAUUUGUAAUUAUUUUGGAUCGGUUAAAUAAAAAUUGCAAACGAAAAUGCAAUUGAAAAUCUGGUUCAAAUUUCGUAAAGGGUGUAAGGAAGCAACAUUGAGUCACUUUGCUCUGUAGAUGAUUUGUUUUUGUCUUGUCAUGGGGCUAGGAAUUUGGUCUGUGGGCUUGGAGAGGCCUUGAAGUUGAGGAGGUUUUAGGAUUGCAAGUAAAUGAGUCUAAGAGCUGUGUUUAUCUUGCAAGAGUGCUAGAGGAGAUUAAGCAGCAAAUUCUACAAUUCCUCAAUUUCAGGGAGGCAUUUCUUCCUGUUAUCUAUUUGGGAUUACCUCUGGUAUCUACUAGUAUUAAAAAAGAGCAUUUUCAGAAGCUUAUUAGUAUAAUAACUAGUAGAAUUGACUCAUGGUCUGCUAAAUAAUUAUCCUAUGCUGGUAGGGUACAUGGUGAGGAAUAAGUUGAAAAGCCUCAGUUUUUGGGGAUCUCUAAACCUUGUAAUGCUAGUUGAUCUUGAAAGAAUUGGUGAAAAUUAGAGAUUGUUUUAGAAAGCAUUGUGCAUAUAAGUUGGGAAGAGGGGUUUUUCAUUUUGGUAUGACCCUUGCAUGGGUGGGAAAAGUCUUGUUGAGAGGUCUCUGAGUUGAAUAUGGGAUAUUCUGACAUCAUAGACAUACUAAGGUGAGGGAGGUUUGGAGGGAUGGUAUGUGGAGGCUUCCUAAUCCAUUGGGUUCCACUAUGGAAGGAGCCUGGGAAGAGGUUCAGAAAUAUUACGUAAGCAAUGAAUGGGCAGAUUGUAUUAAAUGGAAACUCAUAGACUUACACUGUUAAUAGUACUUGGAAAGUCCUAAGAAGGAAGGGUGGAGUGGUUAAUUGGUGGAAGGUGGUGUGGGGUGAGCGUAUUCCCAGGCACAGUUUUAUAACCUGGUUAGCUAUCUAUAGUAGACUUGUUGUCAAAAAGAGGCUACUUAGAUGGGGAAUGGUAAAUAAUGCGUGGUUUUGCUUAUGAUUACUUAAUAUUAAUUAGAUUAAUGAUCACUAAUAGAUAAAAGUGUCUGAAGGAAAGAGACACUUAUAAAGAUUAGUGUGUAAAAUCUAUAUGAUUAUUUAAUAUUAAUUAGAUUAAUGCUCACCUAUCGAAAAAGGUGAAAUUAAGUAAAAAGGUCAUGUUUUUUUAGUAAAUUGUAUCGCUCACGAUUAAGUAGAAAUGUUCUUGUGACAAUACUUUACAGUUUUGGCAUGGUGCAGUAGUUAGGAGUAUAAAUGAAUUAAAUUAUUUGUUUGUGAGUUAUUUGAGAUUCGACUCGAUAAAAAUUUAAUCGGGCUCGAUCUAAUUUAUAUACAAGCCAAGUUCGAGCUUAAUUUUUAGACUUGUUUAGUAAACGAGUCAAGUUUGAACUCCAUAGUAUUCGGCUCGUUAAAACUUGUGUGCUCGACUCUUUUCCGAGUUUAUGAACAGAUUCACAAAUAGGCUCGUAAAUUAUCUCGUUAAGUAGGCUGAGAUUAACAUCAUAAGAUAAAUAAAUUCAAAUCAUGCAUAUAUUUUCAUAAGCCAACCUAAAUUUUCUAAAGUUCAAGUCUACAUAGUUUAAUUACAUUUUUCAAACUUGCAGAUAUUUGGAUCGUUAAGAUUUAAGAGCUCAUUCUUUACAAGUUUGUGAGUUAAUUUUUAUAUAUAUUUAUUGAAUUAAAAUUAAGUAUUUGAUUGUCUAGUAUAACUUGGUUAAGUGACUAAAAGAAUAUGUAAUUCAUCUGAAAUUAUAAAUUCAGUUUUCACUCCUCUAUUUCCCAAAAAAUAAUUAUUAUAAUAAAAUAGAUAAUUGCUAAAAAAAUCUUACAUUUUUAAUUUUAUUACGGUUAUACCUUAAACUUUUAAAUUAUUAUCGAUUUAAUCGUGAAAUUUGUUGAUGUGUCAUACUGAUAUGAUAUUGAUAUGGCGAAUGACGUGGCAAUUCUGUUAGUUUUUAACGGCACAAGUAACAGUAGGGUAUAAUUAGAACAACUUUAAAAGAUAAGGGUUUAAUUGACACAAAAAAAAAAGUAUAGAGUGUAAUUACAAUAAAAUCAAAGUACAAAAUUUUUUUUUCCAUUAACGGUUGAACAUAUUAGUUUUAAACUAAAAAUCAUUAUAUAUGUACAUAAAUUGAACUGUUCAUGAAUUAUUCGAUAUUAAACUUGAUAAAAACUCAACUCGUUUAAGUCUGUCUGCUAAAUGAGGUUUAAGUUUCUUUACUAAAUGGGGCAAGUUUGAAUUUAUCGAUACUUGAUUGGAGUUCGAAAUAAGUAAAAAUUGAGUUUCACUCAACCUCAAAGAACUUUUAAGAAAUUAAGUUUAAGCUUUUCAAAGUUUGGAUCGUUUCACUCACACCCCUAACAGUAACUCCUCCAUUCAGUCCUUUCUUGUGAGUCUCAGAUGAAGAAGGAUUAGAUGAGGAGAUCAAAAAUCUUUAUCCGUUACUUGUGGAUUAUUUGUUAUUUACAUUUGUAGAUAUUAUUUAAUUUUAUGUUUACAAUAAAAAUAUACUUUUAAUUAUGAAUUUCAUUUUGGUGUUGUAUUGAAUUAUUUAUGUUCGAAAUAAUUUUUGAUUUAUUGUUUCAAUGCACUAUAUUUGUAGUUGAUUGUAUAAAUAUUGGGUUUUUGAUAUUUACAGGUGUUUUAGAUUAGUGGCAUAAAAAUUAUAAAGAGAAACGCAAAUUAAAAGUAUAUUUAUAAAAUUACAAAUAAAUUUAUAAAUAAAUAUUUUAUUACAUUUACAAACGGUGUCGUAUAUAAUUUAGCAAGCAAUGUCCAUAAAUAGAUAAGUUUAAAUUACAAAUGGACUUAAUUUUUUGUAUGAUUAAUGAAUUUAUAAAUAAAUAAAUUAUUUGAAUUUUAAAUGAAUUUUACAAAUAUAUAAACAGUUUGAAUUACAAAUAUAUUUCAUAUCAGACAUUUAUAUCAUAAAUAUUUUUAUAAAUAGAUUGUCCAUUUUAUAUCAUAAAUGAAUUUACAAAUAAAUUAUCUGUUUAUACAUAAAAUUUUAUUUAUAAAUGAGAGAAUAUAUAAUAAAAAAUUUUAUUUUUCAUUUCAAAAAUAUUACAUAUGAAAUUUACAUAAAGUUUGCGAUCGUAUAUUAAAUUACAAAUGAAAGUGCAUAAUUUUCAACUAGAUUUUUUCAUGUGUAAUUUUUUUUUUUUUUUUUAGUGGCAAGUCUAAUAAGAAUGUUGAACAAAUACUUGGUCUCUUUUUAUUCGCAGACGAGACAUUACAGUGGUAAAAGUUAGGAUCUUUUUAAUAGGAUUUGAACAAUAUAAAUAAAAACAAAGGCUGGGGGAGAAAUAAUAGGAUUGCAAAAAAUAUAUAAGAUAAUUUAUUAUUAUAAAAAUAAAUGAAUAAUCUUAUUUAACAUUUAUUCGCUAAUAAAAAUUAAAUAAUUCAAUAUAUUUUAAAAAUUUUAAGUUAUAAAAUUCUAAUAAUGUGAUAUGAAAAUAUAUACAAUAAUUUAAUAUUAUACUAAAAAGGAAUUAUUUUUAUUUAAAUUAAUUAAUAACAAAAUUAAAUUAAUCAAUACUUUGAAUAAAUUUCAACUUAUAAAAUUAUAGUAAAAAAAAUAAGAAUUCUAAUAUCAUCUCAAACUCAGUUUUAAAAUAAAACUCCUUCUACAUUAUUUACAUAGGAAUAAUAUUAAUAAAUUAAACUAAUAUUAUGUUUUUAAUGGAAUAAAAUAAAAUGAUAUAAAAUAUUAAUGUGGUUGAUUAAUUUUGAAAUUCUAAUACAUUUUUAAAGUUAGUGUACAGUAAAAUUAAUAUAAAAUACACUUAAUUUAAUUAAUUAAAUAAUAACUUUAAUUGAUUAAAAUAUAUACACAUAAAAACUCCAUGUGAUUAAUAAAAAAAUAAUAACUUUAAUUGAAUGAAAUAUAAAAGUUUAAUGUAAUCAAUUUUUAAUAAAGAGUGAACUAUAUUUAUUAUAAAUUUAUUAUAAUAAUGAAUAAUUAAAUUUAAUUAAUUUAAAAUUAAUAAUAAUAAUGAUCAUAAGAAUAAUUUAUAUAAAAAAAUAACGUUAUAAAAAUUUAAGAUGCUAUAAAAUUUUUUUAAUAAAGUUUAUUGGUGCAAAUAUAUAUCUAGUUUUUCUUAAUUCAAUUAUUAUCAAUUUAUUUUACUCUUUUAAUAAUUACUCUCUUAAAAUAUGUUAGAGAAACACUUUUUUUGUAAGUUUUAUACCAAACGUACUUUAUAUUCAUUUGAUAAAUCUGCUAAAAUUUAAUUUAUUGUACAGAAUUUAAAAUUAUUUAUUUUUCUUUUUAAAAAAUAAAAAAAAUCUUUGUUUUACCAUGUUUCAGCUUUUAUGUAAUUAAUAUGAAUAAAGAUUGGUUUUAUACUUAGUAAAAUAUAAAUUCAAGUAAAUUCAUGUAUAGAUUUGUCCUAAAAUAUAUGUAAAAUGUAAUGUAAUUAAUAUCAAUAAUAGUAUUUAGUGAUGGUAUCCUCAGCAUAUAUAAUGUCGGGUAUAAAUUUGUAAAAUAAAUAAAUACGGAAUGGUUGGUUGUGGAUAAUUUUUGUGAUACUUAGGUCAGUAAGUGAUUUAUCAGAAAUUUUAAAAUAAAAGGUAUAGAGAAUAGUUUGAUUAAAAGAGUAUAUACAUGAGGUGUCUUUUUAUAGGUCUAAAGUUGGUUGAUUUUUGGUAGAAGUAGGAUUCUUUUUUGAAAUCUAUUUUUGUAACGACCCGGAAACCGGACCGCUACCGGCGCUAGGAUCCAGAUCGACUUAAGGUCGCCGGGAUCCGUAGCAAACCUACUAUACAACCUGUGUACCUGAUAAAACCCAUACAUGAUCAUACAUUUUCAUAACAUUUUAAAUUUUUCAUAUGCAAGCUUGACCUGUGCAUGCACCAUAGCCAAAAACACAAAACCCCUAUACUAGAGCCCUCAUCAAAUGCUCUAGUAGGGUCAACAUUUCAUACGUCAAGCUUGGUUCAACAUACCUCAUCAUUAAAAUAUUUCAUAUAGAUCAUGUAUAAAAGGGUUUAACCAUACAUCACUAGGGCAAAGCACAAUUCUAUCCAUAAUACAUUACAUUACAUUAUAUUACAUUUCGUUCCAUAUCAUGUUCACUACUGUUCUAUUACAUAACAUAACUAUUACUCUUGCUGACUUCUUGAGCUACCUCUGACCUGCAAACUGGGGGUUAGGGGAAAUGGGUGAGCUACUAAGCCCAGUGAGCAGAACCAUAAAACAGUUAAAUAAUCAUAUGCUCAUAUGGAAUGCACCACAACACAAACAAUACACAUUAAGGAUGGACUGACCCAAAAAUCCCUCUACUCUGUGCCCGGCCCUCGGUGGAGCUCCUCAUGACUUCUUUACUUACAUAAAUUGCGUGCCAGGGGCGUAGAAUGGGCAAUUCUGGUCUUUCAUUACAUAACAUAAUAUGUAGAGGGCUAAUGGUCGUCCUGUUGUCCAUCCACAUCAACAACCAGUUAUGCAGUGCAGCAUAUUCGUGAAGUCUAAUGCAAACAACCUAUUACAUAUACAUGAUGCGUGAACAUGCUUAAAACAUUUGAUUUCUUGAGAUAAAAGAUUAGUUUAGUUCUACUCACCUCUGACUGACGCUUAACUAACUCUGAAGCAGCUAGCUCACUGCUGGUCUCUUCGGUCUCUCGGCUCCGAACCUACACAGGUGGACUCAAAUGAGGGACCAAACAUACUCUAUAAAGACUCUAAAUAUAGCCCCCAAAACCCCCCAAAGCAUCAUAAAACAUGCAUGCAAAACAGGCAAGGGAAGGCUGGACAGAGGACUUUCGGCGGCAGGUUCGGCGGCCGAAGGUCCCUACAGAUCCGAAAGUCAAGCACUUUCGGGGGCAGGUUCGACGGCCGAAACUUCACUCUAGAGACGAAAGUCACCAACCUUCGGCUGCUGAAACUCCUCUCCAGAGCCGAAAGUUCAACUUUCGGAGGCGAGCUUAGGCGGCCAAAACUGCCUCCACAGUCAGGUUCGACGGCCGAACAUGGCUUCGGCGGCCGAACCUGGAUCCUUCUGAGUGGCAGAACCCGAUUCUGCCAUUCCACAUCUAGCCUCCCAAAACCUUCCAAACUCAAACUCAACACACCAAAGCAUGCAUAAACACAUUCUUAAGCAUAUAGGGGCAUAAAACUAGCCUAAACCCCAACAUAACAUCACAUAAACAUACAUAGAGCAUACAUUCAAUAUAAACCCUAACAUUUUCACAACUAACCUAAACAUGCAUCAACAACCCAUAACCCCCUUAUAAAACAUACUUAAAACAUAAAAAAGGGUAUGGAUCUACACUUACCUCUUGAAGAUCGAGAGGAGAGGUGAUCCAAACUUGGAGAUUGGGAGAAAUCGAGCUCCGGGGUCUCCAAGCUUCAAAACUUUAAUCUUAGCUUAAAAACUUCAAAAUAAGGGUAAAAACUCAUCAAAAACAUAAUUGAUUUGUAGGAAAACAUAAAAUCAACCAAAGGAGGGCGAAAUCUCACCUAUGCUCAAAAAUAGAGAGAGAAAACUCGUCCGUUUUCGGAUAAGGGGCUUUUUAUAGGUGGCUGGCCAGACCACCUUCGGAGGCCAAAAGUGCCUCCGCAAGAGGCCAAUGUUCGGAGGCCGAACAUGAGGUUUGGCGGCCGAACCUGGCUUUUUUCCUCCUUGGUCUUUUCUUUCAAAACUCAAUUUCCUUCUUCAUUAAAACCAUAAGAACAUAUAAAAAUAUUUUAGAAAACCUUUAUUUUCACCAUUCUAAGGGAUUCCGGCCUUAAGAUUCCAGAUUUCAACGGAAAUUCCGCUGGAAAAUUGGAAUUCCGGUGCCGGAACUUAGCCAGGUGUUACAAUUUUGGUCCUAAAUUGUAGAAUUUUACUUUAAAGACUUUUUACUUAUAUGUGAUUUAGAAUCCUAAUUGUCAUACGACUUUUACGUGAUUUGAACAAUGUUGUCUAUUUGGAUUUCGGCCUAGUAGGCCGAAGCCUUCGGCUCCGUGAUCGUCACCUUUGGUUUCAAUCCUAAGGCUGAGACCUCGUGUUGAUAUUAGCCUUGAGGCUGAAAUCUUGAGGUCUCGACAUCCAUUUAGCAUUUUGGAUGCCGAGAUCUAAGAGUUUCGACCUUUCGGUCCUAAAGCCGAACACCUUUGAGUAUCAGAACCUUAUUUCUCACUAAAAUGCAUCGCUUAGAAUCAAGCAAAAUAUGACAUAUUUUUAAACUAAUAUAAAUGAUUAAUUAUAUAAUAUUAUGAUAUAGACACUAGAGAGCAUUUUAGUUUUCUUUUUUUUUUCUUUAUAUAUAUAUAUAUAGACACUUGAGUUUAUCUUAUAUAUGUCUAUAAAUGGUAGUUUUAGAAUUUAAGAUAUAAAUAUAAAUAAUAAGGUAUUAUUAUUUAAAUUGCCAAAACUACAUUUAAUAAUUGUAAGUUUGAUGAGUAGCAGAACUCACCACUUGUUUCUUAUUAAAUUUCAUAAUUUUAAUAUAAAUAAUUAAUUUUUACUUAAAAUUUAAUUUUGUUCAGGUUUUUAAGCGGAAGUUAAAGAAAAGGAACGCAAAUAGGCUUAAUUAAAAGAUUUUCAAAUUGAGAGUUACAGUAUUGGGUAAGCCUGUAGUCCAAGACAAUGGACAGCUUCCGAUUUCAAAAAAUGCAACUUCAGCCCAAUUUUUUCAGCUGUAUUAAUAUAAGAUCAACUUUAAAUUGGAGCAAAUACAAUCAUAUUAGAAUAGGGAUAAGAUAGAAGUAAUAAAAUUUAUUUUAAAUUGUAAAUAUUUAUAUUUUUGUUGGAAAAAAAUCCAUAUAAAGGCUACUCAAAAAUUAAUCUAGGUAUCAUAUUUUUCUCUUCUUCUUCUCCCCUCUCAAAUUUGGCCACCUCCUUGCUGUCCCCUUCUUCUUCUCUUUAGUUUUUGUAAUUUUAUCAUGACUCUUAGGGAUUGACCAAUUCUUUUCAAUUGAAAGUUAAUCUAAAUUGAGGUUUUAUUCAAGUUGUGAGAUUAUGUGCUUAAAUUCUCUUCCUAUUAUUUCUAUUUUCUAUUAAUUUCUAUUUUCAAAAAAUACGACCUCGAUUGUUGUCCUCUUAGAAAUUAAGGGGCCCAUUGAAUCUCUUGGAAAGACAACAUAUUACUCAUUAACUCAAUUAAAUUCGUAAUUGUUUAAUUGAGUUAAUAAUAAAUACUAAUUAUGUUAAGAAAUUAGUUUUGAUUUAAAUAAUUCGCGUGUUAUUAUUGAUCAAAUUUAGUGCAAACUUCUUUUCUUUUGUUGGAGUGGUUUGACGUCUUUGUCAACAGACAACUUAUGAGCAGUGAGAGCGAAAUUCACUCUUAUUACAUCUUUUGGAGACCAAGCGAAAAUGGUUACUUGGCAAUUUAGCAACUCUAUUAAAUAAGUCUUUGUUUCACUGGUUAACGCAAUACCGAACCGUACUUUUUGAUUCUUAUCUAAUUCAACCUUUUCUACUAGGUCUCUAGCUCUGUUUUUAUGUGAGAUUCUGGCUUCUUUAGCAAGUCAAUGGGUAUUGUGGCUUUCUCGAGACUUUUUGCGGGGUGUUCGUAAUAUUCUUUAGCCAAUCUCAGGCUACCUCAGACCACGGUUAUCCCCCUGGAGCUGUUAACUUAAGACACAUAGUAUCCGUGUUAAUAACAAUACUGUGACAGUUUAGAACUGGGCGACUGAGUAUCACAUGGUACACAAAUGAGAUAUCUACCAUCGCAAACUCUACAUACAACUCUCGCCUAUAUUUUUCGUCACCCAGGGAAGGUUGAUGGUAUCUACUACUGUCACGGACUUAUCUCCUAAGAUAGGAAACUUUGACAAGACUGUUUUUAUCUAAAUCUAACUUGUUAAAAAUAUUUUAUAUGAGAAGGUUAAUGGAACUAACUGUAUUCACCCAUACUCGCCUUACUUCGAAUCUAUUUUAGAAGGAUUUUAACAACCACUAGGUCAUUUUGAAAGAAUCCAAUCACUUUACCUACAGGACCAAACCUUUAUUUUUUCCUUUACCCUUGUCAUGUCCUCUAUAAUGAUAUGUAUGAUUCCGGCCAUUUAGCUAUUUCAAGAUAGAGAAGAGAUAUUUCUUUUUUAGAGAAUUAGAUAUAUUAUAUGACCCUAUUUACGCUGGACUGUAUCUGAUAACGGUUACUUUACAUUGAAAUCUUGAUAAUCAACCGCAUAUUUAAAGUGUCUGAAUUUUUCUUUUCUCAAAUGAAAAAGUAUUACUUAUUUAUAAGGUUCUUGUCAUAUCACCCUAUUUUAUGGCAAUAACUUAUAAAUUUAUUGUAUUUUAUUAUUAUUUAUAAAUAUUUAAUUUAAUUGAUUAAUUAUAUCAAUUUUCUAUUUAAAUUUAAAUAAAUUUUAUUAUAAGAACCCACUAAAAUUUAAAACUUCUUAUAAAAUAUUAAUUUUAUAAUAUCAAUACUUGAGUUGGCUAAAAAUUUCAGCAAUAAAUAAUUCAUGCUAAUAAUUUUUACUAAUUAAUAUUUCAUAAAAAUAAUAAAUCGGCAUAAAAUUUAUUUUUUUAAUAUUAUAAUAAAUAGAUAUAAAAAUAAAAGUAUUAGUAAUCAAUACUAUUUUAUAAAAAUAAUAUAAAAAAUGAAUUUUAAAGCCAUUUAAAUUUUUGAUAAUUUUAUAUUUUAAUGUUUAGGUUCACACAUUAAUUUAAUUUUUUUAAUUUAAAAUUUAUAUAACCGCCUUUAAUAUACACAAUGUCUACAAAUAGAAAGUAGGUUAAAAAAANNNNNNNNNNNNNNNNNNNNNNNNNNNNNNNNNNNNNNNNNNNNNNNNNNNNNNNNNNNNNNNNNNNNNNNNNNNNNNNNNNNNNNNNNNNNNNNNNNNNNNNNNNNNNNNNNNNNNNNNNNNNNNNNNNNNNNNNNNNNNNNNNNNNNNNNNNNNNNNNNNNNNNNNNNNNNNNNNNNNNNNNNNNNNNNNNNNNNNNNNNNNNNNNNNNNNNNNNNNNNNNNNNNNNNNNNNNNNNNNNNNNNNNNNNNNNNNNNNNNNNNNNNNNNNNNNNNNNNNNNNNNNNNNNNNNNNNNNNNNNNNNNNNNNNNNNNNNNNNNNNNNNNNNNNNNNNNNNNNNNNNNNNNNNNNNNNNNNNNNNNNNNNNNNNNNNNNNNNNNNNNNNNNNNNNNNNNNNNNNNNNNNNNNNNNNNNNNNNNNNNNNNNNNNNNNNNNNNNNNNNNNNNNNNNNNNNNNNNNNNNNNNNNNNNNNNNNNNNNNNNNNNNNNNNNNNNNNNNNNNNNNNNNNNNNNNNNNNNNNNNNNNNNNNNNNNNNNNNNNNNNNNNNNNNNNNNNNNNNNNNNNNNNNNNNNNNNNNNNNNNNNNNNNNNNNNNNNNNNNNNNNNNNNNNNNNNNNNNNNNNNNNNNNNNNNNNNNNNNNNNNNNNNNNNNNNNNNNNNNNNNNNNNNNNNNNNNNNNNNNNNNNNNNNNNNNNNNNNNNNNNNNNNNNNNNNNNNNNNNNNNNNNNNNNNNNNNNNNNNNNNNNNNNNNNNNNNNNNNNNNNNNNNNNNNNNNNNNNNNNNNNNNNNNNNNNNNNNNNNNNNNNNNNNNNNNNNNNNNNNNNNNNNNNNNNNNNNNNNNNNNNNNNNNNNNNNNNNNNNNNNNNNNNNNNNNNNNNNNNNNNNNNNNNNNNNNNNNNNNNNNNNNNNNNNNNNNNNNNNNNNNNNNNNNNNNNNNNNNNNNNNNNNNNNNNNNNNNNNNNNNNNNNNNNNNNNNNNNNNNNNNNNNNNNNNNNNNNNNNNNNNNNNNNNNNNNNNNNNNNNNNNNNNNNNNNNNNNNNNNNNNNNNNNNNNNNNNNNNNNNNNNNNNNNNNNNNNNNNNNNNNNNNNNNNNNNNNNNNNNNNNNNNNNNNNNNNNNNNNNNNNNNNNNNNNNNNNNNNNNNNNNNNNNNNNNNNNNNNNNNNNNNNNNNNNNNNNNNNNNNNNNNNNNNNNNNNNNNNNNNNNNNNNNNNNNNNAAUUCCUUAAUUGAUGGUCUUUGCAUUUCAGACCAAUUCAAGGAAGCUUUGGCCUUGUUGAAAGAAAUGGUGGGGAGGAACAUAUCCCCUGAUGUUUUUACCUUCAAUAUAUUGAUCGACACUCUUUGUAAGAAAGGACUGGUUUCAAAUGCAGAGAAUAUAAUCAAAAUAAUGAUUCAAAGAGGGAACCUACCGUUGUCACUUAUAGUUCAUUGAUGGAUGGAUAUUGUCUAGGCAGCCAAAUUGAUAAGGCUAGAAAGCUAUUUGAUCUGAUGGUGACCAAUGAAAUAGCUGACAUUUUUAGCUACAACAUUUUGAUCAAUGGAUAUUGUAAGUGCAAAAUGAUAGAUGAUGCAAGGCAGAUUUUUGAUGAAAUGUCUCAUAAAGGUUUAGUUCCUGAUGCUGUUACUUAUCAUACUCUUAUAAAGGCUAUGUUUCAAGCAGGGAGGCCCCAAACUGCAAAAGAGCUCUUUAAGGAUAUGUGCUCUCAUGGUCAACAGCCAAAUAUAGUAACCUUCUCAAUUAUGAUUGAUGGCUUGUGUAGACAGGGGAAUCUCGACGAGGCACUCACCCUAUUGAAAGCAAUGGAGAAAAGUCAGUUGAAGCCUAAUUUUGUAAUCUAUAGCAGUCUGAUCAAUGGUAUGUGCAAAGUUGGGAAGAUUAAUGAUGCCAGGGAACUUUUUUCUAGUCUUUUUGAAAUUGGUUUACAACCUGAUGUUUAUGUAUAUAAUGCAAUUAUGAAAGGACUCUGCCAACAAGGAUUAAUGGAUGAAGCGUAUAAGGUAUUUAAAGACAUGGAAAAGGUAGGAUGUUUACCAAAUAAUUGUUGUUAUAAUAUCAUCAUUCAAGGGUUUCUCAGGCAUGAGGAUUUACCAAAAGCAUCCGAACUAAUCAACGAAAUGGUUGAUAAGGGGUUCUCUGCUGAUGAUGCUACCACAGAAUUGGUAGUACAUUUAUCGCGGAAUAAUAAUCUCAUUCUGAGGCUUUUAAAGGUGCGCAAUGAGGGAUCAACAAACUAAAUUUGUUAUAUCUUGACCAUUCAAGUGUAUCUUGGAGCACAACUUGGUAAUUACCUUUUUCAAAUAUAAUAGAUAUGUAAUUUAACUAACUUCUUCAAAUAUCAUUUUUAAUUUCAAUCAGCUGUGAUUCUCUUCCACAAAACGAAAAUUUCUAACGCUGCAAAUUACCUGUGGUGGAAACCAUGAUAUGUGUGUGCCUUUCGCUUGAAUUCAGACAUGGACUAGAUUUCUUUGAUAUAAGAUUGUUGAUGAAUGGAGGUCAUGGAUUUCUAAUCAUCAAGUUGCUGGUAAACCCACCAUCUCCAUUACAAUUUUUUUUUGGCUGCUACUACAGCCUUUACUCGAGAGCUCAGUCCUAAAAUUUAUUUGAGAACUAAAACUAAUUGGUUCCAUACUACAAUGCCUAAGAAUCUUUAUCUAUUUAUUUUUGUGCUCAAUGACCUUUCAAAAUGCUAUCAUUUCUCUUGUAGGUACUUGCAAGGAUAUGACUACAACUUCACCUUUCUAACCAUAAAGGUAUAAGCAAUUCAUUUUUGCUUAGUUAUUAUAAUUUUUAAUAAUAAUGAAAGUAAUGAUUAUAAACCAGUGUGCUGUAAUUGAGAAUUGAUUUAACAAUUAGACUACACUAUAAAUGCAGGGUGCAAGAUAUACAGUCUCAGAGUACAAGGUAAGAGAAUCACUAGACUUCUACAGCUGUUGGUUGGAUGAAAUGUCACUAAAAUUAUACACAACAGAAAAUGUUAUGGGAAUUGAGGGAAAAGCAAACAUCCUCUUUGUCACCUUUUUUUUUUUCUAGUCAUCAAGUUGGGUAUAUAUAAAUAUAGAUCCUUAAUUUCUUUAAUUUUCCUUCAAAUCAAAUUAGUGAAAUCAUUGCAUUAGCAUCUAAUAAUAUGAAGUUCACAAUCUUUUCCAAUGAAAUCAAUUUUUUAGCAUGAAAAUUUGAAUUUUAGAAAUGCUUGUGGAAGCUAUGUAUAUAUAUUCUUCCCUUUGAGAUUCUUUACUUUGUGCCAAGUUGAUUGGAUGUGUAACUGGCGAUUAAAUGUUGAUAGUUUAUAGCAAUAGCUAUCAAAUAAAGCGAGUCCAUUUUAAGGAUAUGAUUAAAUCACUUUGCUUGGCCUAAUGCAACUAUUUUCUAACUGCUUUCUAAAUUAACCAAACCUCUAUUGUAUGAUUUGUAUCCUGCUGAAGCCAAGGUACAAGUGUAGUGGUUGAGAAAUCUGCCAUUUUUUUUUUUAGUUUUUUGUUUGACAGAAAAUCUAACAAUUUAAGUGGUUGAAACUGUUGAAUCUUGUGAUAGUAAAUUAUUUACAAUUGCUGUAUAUUAAGGAAAAUUACUUAGGAAAUCAUCUCUGUAUAAGAUAUCUUUAUCGUAUUAUAUAAUAAUAAUAGAAUCAAAUAUGAUCAUUUUGUCAAUAUGGUAUAUAACGGAUAUAUUUUAGUGUUGGACCACCAUUUGAGUUAUUUGUAUGGUGCAUUUUGCGAUACUUUUAUGUGGUGGUAUGAAUGUGAAACGCAUUGUUUCUUACUGUUUGAGAUGUUAGUUAAGUUAGGCAAGAAAAGUUAUUUUGGUUGUUUCUUUUCUCCUUUCAGCAGUAUAUAAUUAGACAUGUUAUGUUUUUACCACUUUCUAAACCUUGUAAUAUACUCGAUAAAAUUUUCUUUGGGCUCUUGUUUGUACAUGGUAUUGUUCUUUUUGCUUAAUGCAUCAUUCUUGAAGUUUUUGUGACUGCAUCCAUGGGAAAUGGUUUGUUAGAGAAGGUGGGGCUGACAGGGUACAUAUUGAGAGGUAGGAAACCAAUUGCAAAAUGAUUCAGAUCCUUCUACUCUUCAAAACUCAGAUAAUCCAAGUAGGAUUCUCAUAUCUGCACCGUUAAAUUUAGUAAAUUAUUCGACUUGGAGUAUGUCUAUGACUAUGACACUUACUUUAAAGAAAGAUUUGGGCAACUUAUACACCAAUUAAAGAAAGAAAUAAGUAGUUUCAGUCAAGAAUCUAUAUGAGUUGUUGUUUACUUUACAAAAUUGAAGAAACUAUGGGAUAAACUUGGUGUUUUAAAGCAUCAUUAAAGAGUAGGUUGAAUAUGAGUUUGUUUUUAGUAUAAUUCUAUGUUCAGCCUCCUCAUUCUUAAAAGAAAAGUUAGGAAGUUAGAAAGUUGGGAGUGGAGGAAAGAGUUUCAUAUAGAUUUUGUGACUUUUGGAANNNN
rnacentral:lncRNA from 1 species